GACGAACGCUGGCGGCGUGCUUAACACAUGCAAGUCGAACGGAAAGGCCCUGCUUUUGUGGGGUGCUCGAGUGGCGAACGGGUGAGUAACACGUGAGUAACCUGCCCUUGACUUUGGGAUAACUUCAGGAAACUGGGGCUAAUACCGGAUAGGAGCUCCUGCUGCAUGGUGGGGGUUGGAAAGUUUCGGCGGUUGGGGUUGGACUCGCGGCUUAUCAGCUUGUUGGUGGGGUAGUGGCUUACCAAGGCUUUGACGGGUAGCCGGCCUGAGAGGGUGACCGGCCACAUUGGGACUGAGAUACGGCCCAGACUCCUACGGGAGGCAGCAGUGGGGAAUAUUGCACAAUGUGCGGAAGCCUGAUGCAGCAACGCCGCGUGCGGGAUGACGGCCUUCGGGUUGUAAACCGCUUUCGCCUGUGACGAAGCGUGAGUGACGGUAAUGGGUAAAGAAGCACCGGCUAACUACGUG
rnacentral:rRNA from 1 species